GACGAACGCUGGCGGCGUGCUUAACACAUGCAAGUCGAACGGGAACCUUUAUUUCGGUAAAGGUGAGAGUGGCAAACGGGUGAGUAACACGUAGGUAACCUGCCGACAGGAUGGGGACAACAUUCCGAAAGGAAUGCUAAUACCGAAUGGAGUCCGGAGAUGGCAUCAUCUCCGGAUAAAAGAUGGCCUCUUAACAAUGCUAUCGCCUGUCGAUGGGCCUGCGUCUGAUUAGCCAGUUGGCGGGGUAACGGCCCACCAAAGCGACGAUCAGUAGCCGGUCUGAGAGGAUGAACGGCCACAUUGGGACUGAGACACGGCCCAGACUCCUACGGGAGGCAGCAGUGGGGAAUCUUCCACAAUGGGCGAAAGCCUGAUGGAGCAACGCCGCGUGAGUGAAGAAGGUCUUCGGAUCGUAAAGCUCUGUUGCACGGGACGAAAAACCGAGCUUGAGAAUUUU
rnacentral:rRNA from 1 species